AGUGUGACGCUGUAACGCGUUGAGGGAAAGAAACAUAUGAAGGCACAGUAACGGGGUGAGGUGCAGCUUUCUCCUCCUACAAACGGACUCAUUUCUCUGCCAUUCAAAGGGAAGUAAGCGCAGACCUUCCGAGGACAAAGACAACUUCUGCAGGUUUUCAAAGCAUCUCCAAAGUCUACCUGAUGGCGUCCAGCAGCUGCAUCAAUGUUGAGUUUUUGGAUACAGCUGAGGAUUCCUUCUACUUUGGAGUGGCUUCACCGGAUUUGGAGGAGGAUGACUUCAAAAAGUCAGGAGAGUAUCAUUGGUCCAUUGAGAGCAAGAACGGUGCUGGAUACCUGAUUUUAAACCAAGAAGACACAUUCGUGCUCCAGACCUGCUGUGGUAAGA